rnacentral:rRNA from 2 species
UAAAACUCUGUUGUUAGGGAAGAACAAAUUUGUUAGUAACUGAACAAGUCUUGACGGUACCUAACCAGAAAGCCACGGCUAACUACGUGCCAGCAGCCGCGGUAAUACGUAGGUGGCAAGCGUUAUCCGGAAUUAUUGGGCGUAAAGCGCGCGUAGGCGGUUUCUUAAGUCUGAUGUGAAAGCCCACGGCUCAACCGUGGAGGGUCAUUGGAAACUGGGGAACUUGAGUGCAGAAGAGGAGAGUGGAAUUCCAUGUGUAGCGGUGAAAUGCGCAGAGAUAUGGAGGAACACCAGUGGCGAAGGCGGCUCUCUGGUCUGUAACUGACGCUGAUGUGCGAAAGCGUGGGGAUCAAACAGGAUUAGAUACCCUGGUAGUCCACGCCGUAAACGAUGAGUGCUAAGUGUUAGGGGGUUUCCGCCCCUUAGUGCUGCAGCUAACGCAUUAAGC